rnacentral:lncRNA from 1 species
AUGUUCGUAGCGUGUUGUCGUAAAAAGAAGAAGCAGAAUGCAGACAUAGGAUAUUCUACGGACUCGUAUCUUGACUCGCUGAACAGAAUUUGUAUUGCACUGCACGAUGUCCUUCGCCUCUAUUGCCAUGCUCGGCCUCGCGCGUCAGCUAAUGAUUUGUGCGUACAAAUUUACGUAGCCAACGCGUUCUUGGUAUUUCGCGAUUUUAGAUCGCAACUGCGAGAAACAUCCGCAGGAAUCUCGUUGGAACGACUUUCACAUAGAUACGCGAUAUUACUAAAAAAUAUUACGCGAAUUCUACGAAUUUAUUCGAGAAGAGGAAUUCUACGACCUUGAUGCUAGAACCAACGUAAGAGCAUCAAUCACCAACAUCAGAAUGGACAAUUUUCACUGAUGAUUACUGCGUGUAUAAUUUUACUCAUCCAUGAAAGGAAAUAUUUUCCAAGAUCUCCAACGCGUCUAGUAUGUCAAUUUACUCGCAGCUGUUAGCUACGAGGCGAAGAUUCGCGCUUGGAGAUUCAAACGACGGAAGAGGAAAGGUCAGCAGCGGACAACAGGAAUAUUGCUGGAAGGAGCCUGAAGGAAUUUGCAUCGUAAAUUCUCGUAUCGAUUGUUAUAUAAACGUAUUAAGGAAACUCGAAUGGGAUGAAGCACGCCUAUUUUUAGAACCGUAGUAUAAUGCUGCACAUUCAUCGUGCUUGGUUCACGGAAACACGUGGCUAUAAUUGUUAUCUCUAUUUUGUAACGAAACAUCAGUCCCGUAUGGUAUACCGUGGGGAACGAUACAGAAGGCAGGAAUUGAAAUAACAGUUCUUAAAAAUAUCGUGCCAUAAACCACAAGGGAGGAGCGUGUUUCAACUACAACAUACGUGUAAUUAGCGUGUUUGGAAUUAAAAGCAGUCAUGGUUUCGUGAGUGCUACAAAUAUCAGUGAAAACAAAUGCUCUACGAAAACGUGGGCGUGGUAUAUCGCGUGGUAUAUGCCAUAGUAACUAGAUUGUGGAUACUCGUACUAAUGAUCGCUGCAUGUUAAAUAUAAAACGUAUUAAUAUCGAUAUUAAUGUUAUUAAAAAAGAUAAAUAUUAAUACAAAUAUACAAUGUAACGAAAUAUUGGACUUUAAAAUGGUGCAUGAAUAACAAAAAAUAUUAGCGGGAAAUAAUUGCUAGAAUAAGGUAUAAUUCUACUCUAUUUCACAUUUAACAGUCCCAUUACCUAUUAUCUGUAAGAAUUAUUGUUUUUUUAUAAAACUACUAAGCAAUUUGUUUCCGAAGGAAAACAUUGCACCGACUGACCCAGUAAUUAUGAAAAAUAACUACGGUUCGUGGGGUGAACCUUGUACCGAUAGCAACACUAUCGUUGACCUCUCGUCAUUCUAUACGUUUGUCAAUUUCUUCUAAUAUCGUAAGUGUAAUUAUUACAAUUUUCCAUGGCGAAAAUUCGCGAAGCCACGGCUCCAUAGUUUUUCCAUUUUUAGAACGCAGCGAGAUCUUAUUUGCUUUCUCUGAUAAUUGAAUAAAUAGCGCAAUAACAGCGAAAAAGGAACAGGACCAGUAAACGAACGAUCGCAUUCCAAUAGCGAUAAGCGUAUCUUUAUAAUGAACAUGCGUUUCUUCACGAGUGUUAUAACGAGCGUCCUUCGGACUAGUUAUUCGCCGAUUGUUUCACGAGACAAAAAAAGAAACGAGUUCGGAGCCGGUGCACAACGAGCCCUUUGUAUUUCACCCCAUUUUUCUCUCCCGUUUGAUCGAGACGAUGAAUAUCGCGUUUCUUUUUCUCAUAUUCUUCUUUUGUUUUUUAUAUGGAACGUAGUUACUUUCCAUUGUACGAGUACAACACGAGGAUGACACAGUUCCGCUCCACUUUUUUGCUUGUAAGUUAAUUAGGAAACUGAGGUUGCUUCUUUUCUGUCAGUUGAGUACCGGUGUUCUUUAUUUAAAGACGACGAGUUUUUAUUCCAUCUGUGGUUUAUUUUCAAAUUGAUCGCCUUUGAAUUUUAGCAAUCGACAGACCGAGAAUCAAAAUGGCGAGAGUCAAGAUUUUAGAAUUUAGUCAGAUAUUUCAAUUUUCAGAAGUCUCGUCUUUCAACCGCGAUACGAUUUCACGACUGUAGAAAAUACGACAAAUUUGUUAUAAUAGGAAAGGCAGAAUGCCAGCAGCGAAGUUGAUUCUCAGCCCUUCGAUCGCCAAUGGCGAACAAUAAUCACGAAAAGAAUAUUUUAUAUAUUUAUAUAUCAUUUAUUAUAUAUUACAGACGUGGCAAUUUGAUAAAACUUGUAUUUCUUUCACGCAGUCGAUAUUUUUUCUGGAACGAAAUAUACUAAGAUAGAUAUCCUCGAAAAACACGAAAGUUAUCGUCUCUGUAUCACUAAAAUAUUUAUAGUAAAAGCAACGGUUAUGAAAACUUUAUGAAUGAACUCGCGUAACCCAUUACGCGCAGUACUACGGUUUAACGUUAUGAAAGAGUAACGUACAAAUGGAUCCCAGAAUAGAUGGUGACUCCACUGUUCACGUGGUAACCUGGAAAUAUUAGGAAGGCAAAAGGUGAGUCGAGGCAAAGGAAUAAGUGUACCAUGGCCGGUGAGUUUCGUUUCGAGGGACGCUCCCUUCUUUGGCAACUGGGACUCAUUUUAAUUCGCCGGACGAAAGAAAGGAUCGGCAGCUGUUGCUCGAACAGACGAUUCCCUCCGAGGCGAAUUCGAUGGAAACGCGCCAGCACUUGAGGUGUAACGAAAGGAAACAACCUUCGACCGUAUCGAAAUCAUAAGAUAUACUUGACUUAUCUACGUUUACGUGACGGCUUGUCAUUUCCGUUCCGGAUGAAAUUGCAGUUCCCUUCAAACUGCAGCGAAUUCGUUCACCUGCCUUUUUUGCUUCCAACCAAGAGAAUUUGAUUUUUAUGCUCGAAGAGAAUCAACUAUACUUUCAUAGAAAGCUACUUUCGUCCGGAGUAUAUCGCGUAUAUUACGAUCAUAUACGACAAAUUUAUUUCGCACGUAGAUUUUCUAUAUUUCUGCUAGCUGGCAUCGCGCGCGCGAACAUCUGCAUCUGACGAUACGUCUGCACGCAGUACAAUGACAGUUCUAUUCUGGAGAAUUUGUUUGAAAUACGCGUUGACUUCUUAUCGAGGAGGAAUUUGAUGAACAAACGAAGAGUUUAUUUAUACACGGAACGAAAUUCUGAUUAUGAAACGAUGGAACGCGAGCGAUUUAAUCGAUUCGUGUUAAAAAGAAAAACAUUUUCAAAUGGUAAAAUCACGUCACGAUCUUCCUGUGGACAGUUACGUUCCUUCACUCUCCGCAUUCUAAUUACACUUGGGAUUACUCCGCGAUAAGCGUCAUGGAAUAUCUCUGACACGAGCGUCGUAAUCUAUAUACACAACUGGCUGACACGUACGUACAUAUAGGACUAAGAUAAACGUGUGAAUUAUUCCAACGUUCCUAAGCAUUCAAUAAAGCAUCGCAACAUUCACCAAGUGCAAAUUCCGUCUCUAAUUCUUGAUUAAACAAGAGUCAAUUAAUCAAGACAAAACAAAACGCUAUUAAUACUACAGCUUACU